rnacentral:rRNA from 1 species
AGAGUUUGAUCCUGGCUCAGAUUGAACGCUGGCGGCAUGCUUUACACAUGCAAGUCGAACGGCAGCACGGGGGCAACCCUGGUGGCGAGUGGCGGACGGGUGAGUAAUGCGUAGGAAUCUGUCUUUUAGUGGGGGACAACCCAGGGAAACUUGGGCUAAUACCGCAUGAGCCCUGAGGGGGAAAGCGGGGGACCGAAAGGCCUCGCGCUGAAGGAGCGGCCGAUGUCCGAUUAGCUAGUUGGUGAGGUAAAGGCUUACCAAGGCGACGAUCGGUAGCUGGUCUGAGAGGAUGAUCAGCCACACUGGGACUGAGACACGGCCCAGACUCCUACGGGAGGCGAC